CAGUCGUACCGGCGGAUAAUCAGCCUUUCGGGUGCGAUUCUGUGGAGCGUGAGGAGUUAAACGCCCUCAUCUUUGCAUAUUCGUGCACCUUGGGUGUAUUUGCUCGUGUGGUAGGUUAACAUCAAUUUUGAUUAUCAUAAAAUGAUUGAAGGAAUGUAGCUUCGAUCUCGUAUUGAAGUGUUAUAGCCUUUGGUAGAUGUGAUGAUCGGGAUUGAGGAUUGCAACGGAUACCCUUCGGGGCUACUCGUCUGAUCUCUGAUACGUUGCCUUGAUGUUGAAGCUUGCUUAUGAUGUUAGGGUAUUACGGUCAAAAGG
rnacentral:rRNA from 1 species